rnacentral:rRNA from 1 species
UGAGGAAUCUUCCACAAUGGGCGAAAGCCUGAUGGAGCAACGCCGCGUGCAGGAUGAAGGCCUUCGGGUCGUAAACUGCUUUUAUAAGUGAGGAAUAUGACGGUAACUUAUGAAUAAGGAUCGGCUAACUACGUGCCAGCAGCCGCGGUCAUACGUAGGAUCCGAGCGUUAUCCGGAGUGACUGGGCGUAAAGAGUUGCGUAGGUGGUUUAUUAAGCGAGUAGUGAAAUCUGACGGCUCAACCGUUCAGGCUAUUGCUCGAACUGAUAAACUCGAGAAUGGUAGAGGUAACUGGAAUUUCUAGUGUAGGAGUGGAAUCCGUAGAUAUUAGAAGGAACACCAAUGGCGUAGGCAGGUUACUGGACCAUUUCUGACACUGAGGCACGAAAGCGUGGGGAGCGAACC